rnacentral:rRNA from 1 species
UACGUAGGGGGGCAAGCGUUGUCCGGAAUCAUUGGGCGUAAAGCGCGUGUAGGCGGCUCGAUAAGUCUGCUGUGAAAGUUCAGGGCUCAACCCUGAAAUGCCGGUGGAAACUGUCGGGCUAGAGUCCGGAAGAGGCGAGUGGAAUUCCUGGUGUAGCGGUGAAAUGCGCAGAUAUCAGGGGGAACACCAAUGGCGAAGGCAGCUCGCUGGGACGGUACUGACGCUGAGACGCGAAAGCGUGGGGAGCAAACAGG